CCUUAACCAAACAAUUAAACCACCAAUUGUUCGCCAAAUAACUACGAGUUUCAACUUAAAAUUUAAAAGACUUGACGGUACCCCACAACAACCUAGAGGAGCCUGUCUAAUAAAUGAUACUCCACAAUUAACCCUACCUACCCUAGCCAGCCAGUCUAUAUACCGCCGUCGCCAGCCCACCUCAUGAGAGAACAAUAGUGGGCCAAAUAGUCAUACACUAACACGACAGGUCAAGGUGUAACUAAUGAGUAGGACAAAGAUGGGCUACAUUUUCUAACCAGAACAGAACGAAUUAAACUAUGAAAAAAAGAUUGAAGGCGGAUUUAGCAGUAUACUAAGAACAAAAUACUUAAUUGAAAUUAACGCAAUGGGGUGCGCACACACCGCCCGUCAUCCCUGACACCAGACAGACACAUCCAUAAUACUACACAAAACUAAACCAGGGCAAGUCGUAACA
rnacentral:rRNA from 1 species